rnacentral:rRNA from 1 species
UACGUAGGGGCCUAGCGUUGUCCGGAAUUAUUGGGCGUAAAGAGCUCGUAGGUGGUUUGUCGCGUUGUUCGUGAAAUCUCACGGCUUAACUGUGAGCGUGCGGGCGAUACGGGCAGACUGGAGUACUGCAGGGGAGACUGGAAUUCCUGGUGUAGCGGUGGAAUGCGCAGAUAUCAGGAGGAACACCGGUGGCGAAGGCGGGUCUCUGGGCAGUAACUGACGCUGAGGAGCGAAAGCGUGGGGAGCGAACAGG